rnacentral:rRNA from 1 species
UACGUAGGUGGCGAGCGUUGUCCGGAUUUACUGGGCGUAAAGCGCGCGCAGGCGGUCCGGUAAGUCUCCGGUGAAAUCGCCCGGCUCAACUGGGCGGGUGCCGGGGAGACUGGCGGACUUGAGGAGCCUAGAGGCCGGUGGAACUCCCGGUGUAGUGGUGAAAUGCGUAGAGAUCGGGAAGAACACCAACGGCGAAAGCACUCUGCUGGGCCGACACUGACACUGAGAGACGAAAGCUAGGGGAGCGAAUGGG